AAAUUGAAGAGUUUGAUCAUGGCUCAGAUUGAACGCUGGCGGCAGGCCUAACACAUGCAAGUCGAACGGUAACAGGAAGCAGCUUGCUGCUUUGCUGACGAGUGGCGGACGGGUGAGUAAUGUCUGGGAAACUGCUUGAUGGAGGGGGAUAACUACUGGAAACGGUGGCUAAUACCGCAUAACGUCGCAAGACCAAAGAGGGGGACCUUCGGGCCUCUUGCCAUCAGAUGUGCCCAGAUGGGAUUAGCUUGUUGGUGAGGUAACGGCUCACCAAGGCGACGAUCCCUAGCUGGUCUGAGAGGAUGACCAGCCACACUGGAACUGAGACACGGUCCAGACUCCUACGGGAGGCAGCAGUGGGGAAUAUUGCACAAUGGGCGCAAGCCUGAUGCAGCCAUGCCGCGUGUAUGAAGAAGGCCUUCGGGUUGUAAAGUACUUUCAGCGGGGAGGAAGGUGUUG
rnacentral:rRNA from 1 species